UGGUCAAGCUACUAAGGGCACACAGGGGAUGACUUGGUGUCAGGAGGCGAUGAAGGACGUGACAGGCUGCGAUAUGCUUCGGUUAGGUGCCAAUAACCUUUGAGCCGAAGAUUUCCGAAUGGGGUAACCUUACAGGCUAAUACCCUGUAAUCCUUAACUGAAUACAUAGGUUAAGGACGCGAACCCGGGGAAGUGAAACAUCUCAGUACCCGGAGGAAGAGAAAAAGAAAUUGAUUUCCCUAGUAGUGGCGAGCGAACGGGAAACAGCCCAAACCGUGCUUGUGUCAAGCUUGCAGGCGUUGCAAACGCGGUGUUGUAGGAAAGUCAUGGAGUGACUGCUAACGCUCCGGAGAGUUACAAAGUUUUCUUCUAUUCGAACGAUGCUGGAAGGGUCGGCCACAGAAGGUGAAAGCCCUGUAGAAAAAAGAAGAAGACCUCUCAGAUUUUUCCUGAGUACCACGGGACACGAGAAAUCUUGUGGGAAUCCGGCCGGACCACCGGCCAAGGCUAAAUACUACCUGACAACCGAUAGUGAACCAGUACCGUGAGGGAACGUUGAAAAGUACCCCUUUUAGGGGAGUGAAAUAGUACCUGAAACUGUGUGCUUACAAGCGAAGGAAGGACUAUGUAUGUUUGUUUAUGGGCUUCGGUUCAUAAAUGGAUAUACAGUCUGCCCUUGUGCCUUUUGCUUAAUGAGCCGGCGAGUUAAUUGUUGUGGCAAGGUUAAGUUCCUCGCGGAACGGAGCCGUAGCGAAAGCGAGUAUGAAAGUGCGCUCAGUCGCAAUAAUUAGACCCGAAGCCAGGUGAUCUAAGCGUGGUCAGGAUGAAAUUCUGGUAACACAGAAUGGAGGUCCGAACUGGUGGUUGUUGCAAAAACCUCGGAUGAACUGCGUUUAGGAGUGAAAAGCUAAUCGAACCUGGUGAUAGCUGGUUCUCCUCGAAAUAGCUCUAGGGCUAGCCUCAUGUGUGUUUAACGGGGGUAGAGCACUAAAUAGGCUAGGGGCGAUAACCUCGUUACCAAACCUAAUUAAACUCCGAAUACCGUUAAAUGAAUCAUGGGAGUCAGAACGUGUGGGCUAAGCUUCACGUUCAAAAGGGAAACAGCCCAGACCAUCAGCUAAGGUCCUUAAGUACCGCUUAAGUGGAAAAGGAUGUGGAAUUACUCAGACAGCUAGGAUGUUGGCUUAGAAGCAGCCAUCAUUUAAAGAGUGCGUAAUAGCUCACUAGUCAAGUGAUUCUGCGCCGACAAUAUAACGGGGCUCAAAGCGGUCACCGAAGCUAUGGAAUUGAAAAAUUGGUAGGGGAGCGUUCCAGUGUAGGUUGAAGCGAGACCGGAAGGACUCGUCGACGAACUGGAAGUGAAAAUGCCGGCACGAGUAGCGUAAAUUUAGGUGAAAAACCUAUAGGCCGUAAAUCUAAGGUUUCCUCGAGCUAGGUUAAUCCGCUCAGGGUUAGUCGGGAUCUAAGUCCAGGCCGAAAGGCGUAGGCGAUGAACAAGCAGUUAAUAUUCUGCUACCAGCUAAUGUUCGUUAUCACGAUGGAGUGACGCAGAAAGAUAGGUAGGCCUGUUAUUGGAUUCAGGUCCAAGCAUUCAGGGUGUUAUCCAGGCAAAUCCGGAUAACGUUAGCCCGAAGUGUGAUGGGGAUCCUUCGUAAGAAGGAGAAGUUACUGAUUCUACGCUGCCAGGAAAAGCUUCUAAGGAGAACAUUGGCUGCCCGUACCGCAAACCGACUCUGGUAGAUGGGGAGAACAUCCCAAGGCCCUCGAGAUAUUGCCUCAAAAGGAACUCGGCCAACUCACCCCGUAACUUCGGGAGAAGGGGUGCCCCUCCGCGUUAAGGGAUUCGUUCCCGUAAGCGUGAAGGGGCCGCAGUAAAUAGUCCCAGGCGACUGUUUAACAAAAACACAGGACUCUGCUAACACGAAAGUGGAUGUAUAGGGUCUGACGCCUGCCCGGUGCUGGAAGGUUAAGGGGAGCUGUCAGUCGCGCAAGCGAGGAAGCAGUCAACCGAAGCCCCAGUAAACGGCGGCCGUAACUAUAACGGUCCUAAGGUAGCGAAAUUCCUUGUCAGGUAAAUUCUGACCUGCACGAAUGGCGUAACGAUCUGGGAACUGUCUCUUGGGGCAGCUCGGCGAAAAUGUAGUAGCGGUGAAGAUGCCGCUUACCUGCAGUGGGACGGAAAGACCCUAUGAAGCUUUACUAUACCUUGACAUUGAUUCUUGGUUGAACAUGUGUAGGAUAGGUGGGAGACUUUGAUGUCUUGGCGCCAGCCAGGGCGGAGUCGUCGUUGAAAUACCACCCUUGUUUUAUUGAAAAUCUAACUGUAUCCAGUGAAACCUGGUGCAGAACACUGUCUGGCGGGUAGUUUGACUGGGGCGGUCGCCUCCAAAAGAGUAACGGAGGCGCUCUAAGGUACCCUCAGCGCGGUCAGCAAUCGCGCUAAUGAGUGCAUUGGCAUAAGGGUGCUUAACUGCGAGACAUACACGUCGAGCAGGUGCGAAAGCAGGACAAAGUGAUCCGGUGGUUCUGUGUGGAAGGGCCAUCGCUCAGCGGAUAAAAGCUACUCUAGGGAUAACAGGCUGAUCCUAUCCGAGAGUUCACAUCGACGAUAGGGUUUGGCACCUCGAUGUCGGCUCAUCACAUCCUGGGGCUGAAGAAGGUCCCAAGGGUUCGGCUGUUCGCCGAUUAAAGUGGUACGUGAGCUGGGUUCAGAACGUCGUGAGACAGUUCGGUCCCUACCUACUGUGGGCGUAAGAGAUUUGAAGGGAGCUAUUCUUAGUACGAGAGGACCGGAAUGGACGAACCUCUGGUGUUCCGGUUAUUCCGCCAGGAGUAACGCCGGGUAGCUAUGUUCGGAAUGGAUAAACGCUGAAAGCAUCUAAGCGUGAAACCAGCCCUAAGACAUGAUCUCUCUUUGUGGUAACACAACUAAAGACUCGUUGAAGACUACAACGUUGAUAGGUCGGAAGUGUAAGACCCGUAAGGGUUUCAGCUGACCGAUACUAAUAAGUCGUGAGGUUUGGCCACUAUAA
rnacentral:rRNA from 1 species